UCUAGAAAACUACCGGUCUUAAAAAACAACCAGAGUAGAUCUCUAGGUGCUGAUACUAGGACCAGAUUUGAUCUAGAAUCUAUAUCUAAUUAGUUAAAUCAUCCGGUAACAACUGCUAUCUUAAUAACAGCGAGUACUGGAAUCUAGAAAAUCUAUUUCAUCAGUGCUUUCCAAUAUUACAAGUGUUUGCGAUUUGUCUUGCAGCCUGUGUAGCAUUGGUUUACAGAGCAUCCCGUGUUGAAAUCUGAAGACACAAGAAGUUGGU